rnacentral:rRNA from 1 species
AUUGAACGCUGGCGGCAGGCCUAACACAUGCAAGUCGAACGGUAACAGGAAACAGCUUGCUGUUUCGCUGACGAGUGGCGGACGGGUGAGUAAUGUCUGGGAAACUGCCUGAUGGAGGGGGAUAACUACUGGAAACGGUAGCUAAUACCGCAUAACGUCGCAAGACCAAAGAGGGGGACCCUCGGGCCUCUUGCCAUCGGAUGUGCCCAGAUGGGAUUAGCUUGUUGGUGGGGUAACGGCUCACCAAGGCGACGAUCCCUAGCUGGUCUGAGAGGAUGACCAGCCACACUGGAACUGAGACACGGUCCAGACUCCUACGGGAGGCAGCAGUGGGGAAUAUUGCACAAUGGGCGCAAGCCUGAUGCAGCCAUGCCGCGUGUAUGAAGAAGGCCUUCGGGUUGUAAAGUACUUUCAGCGGGGAGGAAGGGAGUAAAGUUAAUACCUUUGCUCAUUGACGUUACCCGCAGAAGAAGCACCGGCUAAGUCCGUGC